rnacentral:lncRNA from 1 species
AUGAAAUGUAUUUUAUAAUUUAUAUUAUACAGUAAUACAAUUCUUUAUAGUUACUUAAUGUCUAUAAUAUAUGUUCUAAUAACUUGAAAUCUCAUAGUUCAAAAAUAUUAACAUUUUACAACUCAUUUUACCCCCCCCCCCCUUUUGAAAAGUGGGGGAGGUGGGGGUAGGUAAUACUGUUUUACCUCUGUCUGUCGAUCCAGCCAUCAGUUCAUCAGUCCUUCCGUCCCAUGAAUAUUUUUCGUCUCAUUUUUCUCAGGAACUACAAUACAAGGAUUUCUGAAAUUUGGUUUGGGGGUUUAUAUAUAUCAGCUAUAUACCAAGUGAUGCCUUUUCAGAUUCAUCACUAAACAACUUCCUGUUUACCGAACGCGUGUAUCAUUUUACACCUAAUAGCCAAGUUGAAAAUUUCCGCCACUUUUUUCUCAGGAACUACAAUACAA